GUGAAAGGCAAAGAGUAUAUUCACCAUGCUAGUUACAGCAGCUCAAAAUAACAUGCAGUUUAUUGCAUUGUUAGCUGGAGAACCUGUCAUGCUCACAAAAAGCUGAAGCAGCCUCCCCGUGUGGGACAAGUGGGCUGUUCAGAACAAUAGCAUGAAGCUUGCGCUUGAGAAACUGCUUUCCUCUCCUCCCCACCACCCUUUUGUUAUGACAUAAUCAUUCAUCUUGCUUUGGGUUUUCUCAAGCUAGUGAGUACAGAGGGGAACCAGAACUGCAACUAGCAGGAGCUAACUCCCUCCCUUCUUAGGUAACUGCAACAGUUCCUCUGAUGACAAGGCAAUUCCAGAUUAACCAGAUUUCCUUUCAAAUCCAGCGUGUGUCUGCUACAGCAACAGAGGCUGAGCCUGGCAAGUAACUCCUUAAAAUCCAAAGGCAGUCUCCUGCGCACCAAAGGGUACAAAAGGAGGAGGGAGGUUUAAUAAGCCAUGUUGGAUUUGCUCAGCCCGUCUGCUGUGGUGAAUUUCCAUGAGCAUAACGAGCUCACAAGAGAUGAGACUGUUUCCAGAAAAUAGACCGAGCCUUCAUUCUGCAAAAGGGACCCUUUUGCAUAGCCACUUUGUUAGCCUUCCUUGUGGCUGAAUCAGAGCCAUCCAAAAGAAGCAAUGUAAGUAUUCAUAUCUACUGGAAGGGGAGAAAAGACACUACCUUGUUCCCGUUAACAGUCAGCUAAUUCCGAAGCAUUGCUGCCCAUAGAACGCAACUUUGAUUUUUGUCAAUUUGGAAUCUCAUCGUUUUCGGAUUCCAUGAGUCUAAGAAGGAAAUUUGAAGCAUGGCCCCUCACUGUUUAGUUCUGGAGAGCAAAUUUUAGGUUCAGUGUUUGAUAUUCCCUUUGCUCUGUGUGACGCCAGUGAGUGAGACUGUUUUAAUCUUCAGCACGUGCUGAUGAGCCUGCUGAGAAGGAAUAAGAUCCAAGAAGCAAUAAGACCCUAAGCACUGCUUUGACCUCUGUGAAUGAAGUCCUUAGCCAAUUCUGUAUGCAGAAACGUUUUCCUCCAUGUAUAAAUGGUUUAAGCAAUCAAUAAAACUCUCAAAAAUACUGUUUCAAACUUUAUUUUCUGAGACACAUUAGUGGCAAACUUUGCUGCUUUCAUGGGGAGCGCUAAAGGUGUUGACUAAGCCUGGCUGUUCUGCAUGCAAUUACUUUGGGGCAAUUGGAAACUCCUGGUUUUGUACAGAUAUCUACCUACUACGAAAUGGCAGAGUCCUCAUUUUUCCUUUAUUUCUUUCUGUUGUUUGGAACAAAGAACACAUGGUGGAAUUAAAUCAAACUAAAGGGGGAAAGGAUGGCAAGGACAUGUAAAGAAGUUUCUGUCGUAGUAGCUAAAAUUGGCUUUAAGGAAAAUGCAGAAACUAAAUGAAAUGCAGAUGGUAACAAUAUGACAACACUAUCAG
ensembl:lncRNA